GGGCUUUGCUCAUUGUUGAAGGCCACAUAGUAACCUAUAGUUGUUAAUUGCUGUAUCAUUUUGGUCUCUUGUGGAGAGUUGUCUCAUUUUUGUAACCAUACCAUAUCUUCUAUUUUAUAUAUAAGGAUCAAUCACUAAUUAAAUUGAAAUAGUGAAAUAAUAAUAAUAAUUUGCUUUUAGCAGCAAGUAUGGUUCAAUUUUGUCAAAUUAAGCUAAGAAACAUUGAUGAUGAAUUAUUGUCUUGCAAGUGAAUAAUU
rnacentral:lncRNA from 1 species